AAAAUAUAGAGACCAAAACACAAGAACCAAAAGAUCACACCAAAGAAAAACAGAUUAAUAUAUAUUAUUUGUUUCUUAUUAUUACACCUUUAUUAUUUUUUACUCU
rnacentral:ribozyme from 13 species